rnacentral:rRNA from 1 species
GACGAACGCUGGCGGCGUGCUUAACACAUGCAAGUCGAGCGGUAAGGCCCUUUCGGGGGUACACGAGCGGCGAACGGGUGAGUAACACGUGGGUGACCUGCCCUCAGCUCUGGGAUAAGCCUGGGAAACUGGGUCUAAUACUGGAUAUGACUCCACGGUGCAUGUCGUGGGGUGGAAAGCCUUGUGCGGCUGAGGAUGGGCCCGCGGCCUAUCAGCUUGUUGGUGGGGGAUGGCCUACCAAGGCGACGACGGGUAGCCGGCCUGAGAGGGCGACCGGCCACACUGGGACUGAGACACGGCCCAGACUCCUACGGGAGGCAGCAGUGGGGAAUCUUGCGCAAUGGGCGAAAGCCUGACGCAGCGACGCCGCGUGAGGGAUGACGG